AAAGUAUCAGUGUAAAGCAAGAAUGCUAUAAAACUACAAGGCGGUUCCUUUAAUGCCAAUAUUUAAAACCAAAUUUUUCCAACUCACAGAAAGAAUGCCUCUAGCAAUCUCACAAAAAGUAGAGUACUUUGUCCCGUCCCUCCCCCAUGUUCUGAGAGGAAGUUGUUAUGACAGAACAGGUGCGAAGCUUUGACUCAAUACAUACGCAUGACUCCCCAUUAUAUACCCAUCACUUAGAAGACCACUUAUAUUGUCCUUUACCAUGAGGUUAUGCUGGAGGUGAAAGAAGCCACGCCACAUUCUAUCAAUCCAACAUUCUGCACACAGAAACUGUCUCUUUGCAUUGGUAUAUAGAAGGCAACACACGCACACUGUCCUUCCCCUCCCCGUGCCUUCAAUCCUCCUCUGCCUUUAAAAAUUAAAUCGAUAUCUCAGAUGAGUCAUUUAAAUAAAUUAUGUAUAGACACUAACCAAAAGAAAGGUGCCCUCAUUAAAAGUUUAAUUUUUUACAAGUAUUCGACUAACAACAGUAAGAAGAUCAGAUGGAUUUAAAAUGCUUCUAAUGAUAAUUAGUUUCCCUGCCACAAACAGCUGUUAUAUCCAAUCAAGCCUGGCAACAAUAAUAUUGUUAUUGGUUCCAGGCAGCAUUUGCACCUGAACCAUUCACUUUUCAAUGAAAUCCUCUGCCUGCUACUUAUCCCACUGCUCUUGAAAUGGCUCUGCAGUUGAGAAGUGCCUUUUAAUAACAGCACAGAAGGUAUUAGAAAGGUGGUGGACAUGAAAGAAUGUUUUCCAUUUUAAAAAAAAAUCCUCAACAAUUUAAUAAAGGCAAACUGCCUGAACAUUUGGGUUAAAAUCAGGUAUUGAUAUUAUUUCAGUUACUGAUUUUGAUGAUAAAGGUCUCUGUUUUCCACUAUACAUUAAAAUACUUCUGCAUCUCCUUAUCCCUGUGUGACCACAUAUUUUGUAGUAGGCAGAGAAAUUUUAAAUACAAUUCUGUAUUUGACAGAUGUGAGCACAUGCUUCAUUUUAGUAACCGACAGUCUCAUCUAUGCGGUGAUCCAGGAGAAAACAACAACUGCAAUGCAAUGCAUACGAAGUACCAAAUUCAAACCUGGCAUAAGCAGUUUCAUUUAAAUCACUGAUAUUUUACCAGAUCUAACUUUAUCCCAGUAAUUAAAGUAAACCACCACUAAUGAUAAGCCAGUGCCUUUUGCAAGUUCUAGUCUGGUACAGUAAAUAAUUUUUUUUUAAACUCUUCAAACCAAAAGGCCCCCUCGCCAUAAUUAUAUAAUAAUGGAUCUCUGCCCCAGUGCUAUAAUAAUCUCGCCAAAUGUCACUUAUCCAGCAAAUUGAUGCUGUUUCCCACAAAGCACUGCCAUUGAUUUUUGGUCUGCACAAAAAUUAACCAGCCUGGAGGAAUUAUUGACUGCCUGCUUCAUAAUGAUGACUGAUUAUAAGUGAAUCACUGCUUUAUUAUAUGGCCAUUUCUCUUGUCUUGUAGGAAAGCUAUCUUUGGGCUCCAACUGCUACAGAUCCUGCAUUUAGUGAAAAAGGGAAGACUUUAUCAGUUAAAGAAGGUCUUUUUAAGAAAUAUUUUAAAAUUCAUCUUACUUUCCUAGCUUUUCUAGGAAAACAUUAAGUUACAUAAAGAAUAUUUAAACCUGUAAAGGUUAUUGUUCUUCCCCUCCCCCCACUCCAAAACUGUCUGGAGCCAGACUACAUAAGACUGUUGUGCCCUGGGCUAAAAUGGAAGGGGUGGGGGAGCCUGUUUACAAUUACUCCAUUCCUGUUUUUAAUGAAUCUUUCUGAAUGACCACUAAGUACUGGUUUUGUUCUUCAGGAACAAGGGAACUAUUACUGGAGAACUAAGAAAGGAAGGAAAAGGGAAAGCAAACGGAAAGCUGCCAAACUCAAAAGGCGUCUCAAACAUUCCAACUGUAUAUCCCGGAGGAAGAAUAAGCUUUUGUCUUUGUCUUCACCCCUGUUGUUCCCCAAGGUAUGGGGGAAGGCUGCUGCUUUUGCUAACUGGACUUAUAAAUUUAAUCCAUCCUGGAUAAUGUUAUGGUGACAUAAGACCUAGUGCAAGAAAGUAAAAGCAGUGUAACAAAGAUAAAGAAGGUAUUCGUCAUCAGAUUCACUGUCUGUUAGAUACGUGAAUAAGCUUUUUAAUAUCAAUGGUUGAGGAACACUUGAAGUUUAUCUGUUAAAAUUUAAUACCCAGCUACCUUUUGAUUAAAAGUUCACAGCAUGUAUGAUCUGAGGUGACCAUGUUCCUCCAUCAAAAAACAGGAAGGAUUGCAUAUGUGCUCAGAAUAUUUCCAAAGG